rnacentral:rRNA from 1 species
AGCGAACGCUGGCGGCAGGCCUAACACAUGCAAGUCGAGCGCCCCGCAAGGGGAGCGGCAGACGGGAGAGUAACACGUGGGAACGUACCCUUUAGUUCGGAACAACCCAGGGAAACUUGGGCUAAUACCGGAUACGUCCGUAAGGAGAAAGAUUUAUCGCUAAAGGAUCGGCCCGCGUCUGAUUAGCUAGUUGGUGAGGUAAUGGCUCACCAAGGCGACGAUCAGUAGCUGGUCUGAGAGGAAGAUCAGCCUCACUGGGACUGAGACACGGCCCAGACUCCUACGGGAGGCAGCAGUGGGGAAUAUUGGACAAUGGGCGCAAGCCUGAUCCAGCCAUGCCGCGUGGGUGAUGAAGGCCCUAGGGUUGUAAAGCCCUUUCGGCGGGGAAGAUAAUGACGGUACCCACAGAAGAAGCCCCGGCUAACUUCGUGCCAGCAGCCGCAGUAAAAC